rnacentral:sRNA from 17 species
GUCAAUAACUCAGGUCUAAAGACACUGAGCUUGUAAUCAACAAAGAUUACGUGUUUGACUAGCUCACUAGAAUAUUUUUCUAGUUCCAAAACUAAUCUUGAUACGCACUUCCAAAUACUUCCCCAGUUUGGAUUAUCUGCA